rnacentral:lncRNA from 1 species
GUUAUAUAUUCUUCUUCCCUGUGCUUUAGCUUCGGAACGUAACAUUUUCAAUGGACACGUAUGCAUGAUCUUAAUUGAUUACCAUAUAAAAUAUCAUUGGGUGACUUUCCGUCUGCUCUCGGCUUAUUUCGGAAUUCUAGGAUUCCAUGGAUAAACUCGUCGGACUUGAAUCUUCCUCCCACCUUAUCAAGAAGCGUUUUCAUUGUCUUCACCAUAGACUCCGCUUGACCAUUACUUUGUGGAUAAUGAGGUGAUUAUGGUCCUCAAGUUACUCCCCACAUAGUUAAGAAUUGUUGAAAGGCGUUAGAAUUGAAUUGAGGUCCUUAAUCAGUCCGUAAUUGACAGGAAUACCUGCUUCUGAAAAUAUCUUCCUCAGCACUACUAUAACUUCUCCUGAAGUCGUGACUCUUCUAAAUUCCUCCACAUCUGCUGACGUAUGUUCGAAAGGUCUUAUCGGAAUUGGAUCUCUCAUCAUUGUCUCCCCUCCAAUACUUGGUUCCUCUCUUCGUUCCCUCGAUUCCUUGAUGUGAACGAUGUAACCUCUGAAGAACAUCACACCACUUAUUUAUUGGAAUUACCAGCCUAUCCUUAUAAAGAAUAAGACCAUCUUCUAUGCUCAAUUCAAUUGUGUCUUUUAUAACACCUGUUUCAACUACAUUAAUUAAAUCAGUACAUUCUCGGUCUCGACAAA